rnacentral:rRNA from 1 species
CAAUAGCGUAUAUUAAAGUUGUUGCAGUUAAAAAGCUCGUAGUUGGAUUUCUGGUGGGAGCGAUCGGUCUGGCGCUUAGCGCGAGUACUUGCAUCGUCUCCGGCCAUCCUUGGGGAGAGUCUGUCUGGCAUUAGGUUGUCGGGCAGAGGAUCCUAAUCGUUUACUGUGAAAAAAUUAGAGUGUUCAAAGCAGGCUUAUGCCGUUGAAUAUAUUAGCAUGGAAUAAUAAGAUAGGACUUUGGUACUAUUUUGUUGGUUUGCGCACCAAAGUAAUGAUUAAUAGGGACAGUUGGGGGUAUUCGUAUUCCGUUGUCAGAGGUGAAAUUCUUGGAUUUACGGAAGACGAACUACUGCGAAAGCAUUUACCAAGGAUGUUUUCAUUAA